AGGAGCCGGAUGAAUUGAGAAAUUCAUAUCCGGUUGCGUGAGGGUCUGAGGGUGAGCUCCCCUUGGGCUACUCGGCC
rnacentral:misc_RNA from 1 species